CCGAGGACGCCGUCGAGCCGGUCCUCCCUCCGGGAGGCCGGGCCGGGGACCCACCGCAGUCCUGGGGUGCAGCGCGUGUCCGCACGCGCCGGGCGAGUCCACGCCCGAACCCGUCAGCUAACCCGGUAGGCGGCCUGGGAAGAGGAGAA
rnacentral:sRNA from 2 species